GGAGGAAAAGAAACCAACAGGGAUUGCCUUAGUAGCGGCGAGUGAAGCGGCAAAAGCUCAAAUUUGAAAUCUGGCACUUUCAGUGUCCGAGUUGUAAUUUGAAGAAGGUAUCUUUGGGUCUGGCUCUUGUCUAUGUUUCUUGGAACAGAACGUCACAGAGGGUGAGAAUCCCGUGCGAUGAGAUGUCCCAGACCUAUGUAAAGUUCCUUCGAAGAGUCGAGUUGUUUGGGAAUGCAGCUCUAAGUGGGUGGUAAAUUCCAUCUAAAGCUAAAUAUUGGCGAGAGACCGAUAGCGAACAAGUACAGUGAUGGAAAGAUGAAAAGAACUUUGAAAAGAGAGUGAAAAAGUACGUGAAAUUGUUGAAAGGGAAGGGCUUGAGAUCAGACUUGGUAUUUUGUAUGUUACUCUCUCGGGGGUGGCCUCUACAGUUUACCGGGCCAGCAUCAGUUUGAGCGGUAGGAUAAGUGCAAAGAAAUGUGGCACUGCUUCGGUAGUGUGUUAUAGUCUUUGUCGAUACUGCCAGCUUAGACUGAGGACUGCGGCUUCGGCCUAGGAUGUUGGCAUAAUGAUCUUAAGUCGCCCGUCU
rnacentral:rRNA from 1 species